rnacentral:lncRNA from 1 species
UGUUCCAGCCAUUCAUUUAUUAAAGGGUUUAAUUGCAUACACGUCCCUAUAAAUAUAGUGAACUAUAGAUAUACUCCUACAAAGCUCAACUUUCAUAAGUUAUUCCUACAAAAAUCCUAAUGUAUUCAGAUAUAUCCCUGCCGUUAGAUUCCGUUAGAGAAAUUUCGUUAAUCACAGUUAAAAUAUUUAACCAUAGUUAAUUACUAACGUGAAUUGACAGGUUUAUCUUUCGCCCUCUUCAUCUUCCUCUUCUGCUUGUUGAAAUGGCCGUCAUCGUUGUCGCCGGCGAGGAAGGAGGCGCGGCGGGCGAUCGCAGUGGAGAAGGAAGACGCCGGGAGUCGAGGAGCUCCGCCGCAGAGGCGCCGGGGGAGAAGGAGGAGGAGGGGAGCGCGGUUUUGAGGACGAGGUGGAGCGGGGCGCAGGGCGAGUGUGGCGCGAGGCGGAGGACACGGCGUGCGGGGCCAGAGGAGUUGGCGGCGGCGGCGGCGCGGG